UUCUCUUAUAUACAGUUCUUUCUACAGUCUGUUUGGAGAAAAAAUGGUGAAAAAUGACUAUUAGAAGAAACAGGCCUAAUUAGCAAUAUUUUCUGAAAUGAGGACUGCCCAUCUGAUCAAGCUGUGCAGAGGUCCAGCCAUGCCAAGGAAAGAGACACUUAGAGCCUUGUGACAAAAUGGGAAGAAGGCUGCAGGAAUCCUUAAACCAGAGAUGUACAACCACUACACAUUUAAGAUUUGCUUUGAA